rnacentral:rRNA from 1 species
AGUGAACGCUGGCGGUAGGCCUAACACAUGCAAGUCGAACGGCAGCACAGUAAGAGCUUGCUCUUACGGGUGGCGAGUGGAGGACGGGUGAGGCAUACAUCGGAAUCUACUUUUUCGUGGGGGUUAACGUAGGGAAGCUUACGCUAAUACCGCAUACGACCUACGGUUGAAAGCAGUGGAUGUUCGAGGCUUGCGCGGUUGUAUGAUGCGAUGUCGGAUUAGCUAGUUGGCGGGGUAAAGACGCAUCAAGGCGGCGAUCAGGAGUAGGUCUCAGAGGACGUUCAGCCACACUGGAACUGAGACACGGUCCAGACUCCUACGGGAGGCAGCAGUGGGGAAUAUUGGACAAUGGGGGCAAGCCUGCUCCAGCCAUAUCGAGUGGGUGAAGAAGGCCUAUGAGUUGUAAAGCGUUUUUGUUGGGAAAGACAAUCAGCAGGUUAAUACCCCGCUUUUCUGACGUUACCCAAAGAAUAAGCACCGGCUAACUUCGUG